rnacentral:rRNA from 1 species
UACGAAGGGGGCUAGCGUUGCUCGGAAUGACUGGGCGUAAAGGGCGCGUAGGCGGUUUGGACAGUCAGAUGUGAAAUUCCUGGGCUCAACCUGGGGGCUGCAUUUGAUACGUUCGGACUAGAGUGGGGAAGAGGGUCGUGGAAUUCCCAGUGUAGAGGUGAAAUUCGUAGAUAUUGGGAAGAACACCGGUGGCAAAGGCGGCGACCUGGUCCUUGACUGACGCUGAGGCGCGAAAGCGUGGGGAGCGAACAGG